rnacentral:rRNA from 1 species
AGGACGAACGCUGGCGGCGUGCUUAACACAUGCAAGUCGAACGGAAAGGCCCUGCUUUUGUGGGGUGCUCGAGUGGCGAACGGGUGAGUAACACGUGAGUAACCUGCCCUUGACUUUGGGAUAACUUCAGGAAACUGGGGCUAAUACCGGAUAGGAGCUCCUGCUGCAUGGUGGGGGUUGGAAAGUUUCGGCGGUUGGGGAUGGACUCGCGGCUUAUCAGCUUGUUGGUGGGGUAGUGGCUUACCAAGGCUUUGACGGGUAGCCGGCCUGAGAGGGUGACCGGCCACAUUGGGACUGAGAUACGGCCCAGACUCCUACGGGAGGCAGCAGUGGGGAAUAUUGCACAAUGGGCGGAAGCCUGAUGCAGCAACGCCGCGUGCGGGAUGACGGCCUUCGGGUUGUAAACCGCUUUCGCCUGUGACGAAGCGUGAGUGACGGUAAUGGGUAAAGAAGCACCGGCUAACUACGUGCCAGCAGCCGCGGUGAUACGUAGGGUGCGAGCGUUGUCCGGAUUUAUUGGGCGUAAAGGGCUCGUAGGUGGUUGAUCGCGUCGGAAGUGUAAUCUUGGGGCUUAACCCUGAGCGUGCUUUCGAUACGGGUUGACUUGAGGAAGGUAGGGGAGAAUGGAAUUCCUGGUGGAGCGGUGGAAUGCGCAGAUAUCAGGAGGAACACCAGUGGCGAAGGCGGUUCUCUGGGCCUUUCCUGACGCUGAGGAGCGAAAGCGUGGGGAGCGAACAGGCUUAGAUACCCUGGUAGUCCACGCUGUAAACGGUGGGUACUAGGUGUGGGGUCCAUUCCACGGGUUCCGUGCCGUAGCUAACGCUUUAAGUACCCCGCCUGGGGAGUACGGCCGCAAGGCUAAAACUCAAAGGAAUUGACGGGGCCCCGCACAAGCGGCGGAGCAUGCGGAUUAAUUCGAUGCAACGCGUAGAACCUUACCUGGGUUUGACAUGGAUCGGGAGUGCUCAGAGAUGGGUGUGCCUCUUUUGGGGUCGGUUCACAGGUGGUGCAUGGCUGUCGUCAGCUCGUGUCGUGAGAUGUUGGGUUAAGUCCCGCAACGAGCGCAACCCUUGUUCACUGUUGCCAGCACGUUAUGGUGGGGACUCAGUGGAGACCGCCGGGGUCAACUCGGAGGAAGGUGGGGAUGACGUCAAGUCAUCAUGCCCCUUAUGUCCAGGGCUUCACGCAUGCUACAAUGGCUGGUACAGAGAGUGGCGAGCCUGUGAGGGUGAGCGAAUCUCGGAAAGCCGGUCUCAGUUCGGAUUGGGGUCUGCAACUCGACCUCAUGAAGUCGGAGUCGCUAGUAAUCGCAGAUCAGCAACGCUGCGGUGAAUACGUUCCCGGGGCUUGUACACACCGCCCGUCAAGUCAUGAAAGUUGGUAACACCCGAAGCCGGUGGCCUAACCGUUGUGGGGGAGCCGUCGAAGGUGGGACUGGUGAUU